CCUACGGGAGGCAGCAGUGGGGAAUAUUGGGCAAUGGGCGCAAGCCUGACCCAGCAACGCCGCGUGAAGGAAGAAGGCUCUCGGGUUGUAAACCUCUUUUAAGAGGGAAGAGCAGAAGACGGUAUCUCUUGAAUAAGCUAUGGCUAACUACGAGCCAGCAGCUGCGGCAAUACGUAGGUGGCAAGUGUUGUCCGGAUUUACUGGGUGUAAGGGGCGUGUAGCCGGGCUGACAAGUCAGAGGUGAAAUUCCGGGGCUCAACCCCGGACCUGCCUUUGAAACUGUUGGUCUUGAGUAUCGGAGAGGCAGGCGGAAUGCCUAGUGUAGCGGUGAAAUGCGUAGAUAUUAGGAAGAACACCGAUGGCGAAGGCAGCCUGCUAAACGACAACUGACGGUGAGGCGCGAAAGCGUGGGGAGCAAACAGGAUUAGAUACCCCGGUAGUC
rnacentral:rRNA from 1 species